AUGCUGGGGAAGAGGGGCAGGAGUUUUAAAGAGGAACAAUCUGAAACCAUGGGGCUGGGAAAAGCUGCCAGAAAAUCAGGAUGGAUUUGGGGACAGUGGCCCUUUCUGUCCACUCAGCUGUCCUGUCGGACUGAUGACUUGGAGCCCGCAGUUCAGAAGACUCCUCAUGGGAUGCCCCACCCCACAGAGUGGGGGUGUGGUGGGCGGCCGGAUGCGUAGUCCAGGGACGUUUGUGAUUUGGAGUGUGCUAGACUAUGUGUAUAAGUCACAUGGGUGUGUGUCACUGUGUGUGCUGGCGUGCCUUAUAGGUGUGCGUGUUUCCCUGUCAGUUUUGACACGGAUUAUAUGAAAUUAAUAAGGGUUUUUACGUUAGAUAUACAUCACUUCUCUACACCCCCAGCUCCUCCUUCCCUCUGGACAAGCUUUCCGCCAAGCCCACCUCUUCCCCAGGUGCAGUGAGCUGGGGGUGAGGGCACAUGGUACCAGCCGCCCGCGGAACCGAGACAGGGCUGGGCCGGGAGACCGCCAGCGGAGGCGAGUCCGAAGCCUGAGCGGGGAGGGAGGGGCGGGCGCUGGCCUGGCCGAGCCGGCUGGGCGGGAAGCAGGCUGCAUCCUAAUCCACAGGCCCCGGUCCGACUCCCAAACUGCCGUUCAGCGUGGAACGGGCUGGCCGGAGCCACGCCGCCUCCAGCACACGCUCGGCGCUCGGGACGCACCGACCGAGGGACGGACCCCGUGAGGCCUGACACAAAGUGGACUCGUCCGGGGUCCCCACACUCCCCGUCUGGCCCCCGGUGUCCCAGAUCGUUGCCCCUCCAAGCCUAGACCCCGAAAUCUGCCCCUUCCCCGCGACAUGUCUCCUCUCCGCCCCUCUCAC
rnacentral:lncRNA from 1 species